GAGGGUAUAGCUCAAGUGGUAGAGCACAUGCUUAGCAUGCAUGAGGUCCUGGGUUCAAUUCCCAGUACCUAUU
rnacentral:tRNA from 1 species